rnacentral:rRNA from 1 species
CCGGUAAACGGCGGCCGUAACUAUAACGGUCCUAAGGUAGCGAAAUUCCUUGUCGGGUAAGUUCCGACCUGCACGAAUGGCGUAAUGAUGGCCAGGCUGUCUCCACCCGAGACUCAGUGAAAUUGAACUCGCUGUGAAGAUGCAGUGUACCCGCGGCAAGACGGAAAGACCCCGUGAACCUUUACUAUAGCUUGACACUGAACAUUGAGCCUUGAUGUGUAGGAUAGGUGGGAGGCUUUGAAGUGUGGACGCCAGUCUGCAUGGAGCCGACCUUGAAAUACCACCCUUUAAUGUUUGAUGUUCUAACGUUG